rnacentral:tRNA from 1 species
GGGCACGUAGCUCAGUCCGGACAGAGCGUCGGACUUCUAAUCCGACGGUCGCGGGUUCAAAUCCCGUCGUGCCCG